rnacentral:lncRNA from 1 species
CACAUGUUAAAGGAUGUUAAAAGAUGUAAAAAGGAUGUUUUCUUUUGUGGACUUUUAAUUAAGAUCUCAAACCCGGGGAAAAUAGGUAUUGAGUAUCCCCUCAUUCAAAAGCAAGUUACUGGACUAUCUCUGCAGGACGUGCACAGAGAAUGACCCGAAACUAAUCUGUCUUUAUACCUCCUAUUGCCUCCAGGCUAUGUAAGAACAAGCUAAGGAUUUCCCAAGAGGUCCAGAGGGAGUCAGAGUGCUGGGACAUUCCCCAACCACAGGGGAGAUGAGAGCUUUUCAAAGAGUCCAAAGAGGUCUGUUCUGACAGCAUAGAGACUGAGCCUGACUUCUAGUGGAUAAGAGUGUGUGUUUCCUGUGGGACAGACAGGUGAGGACUCUGGGUUAUCCUGGAGCAAGAGCCACUGGAAGCCAGGGCUUGACAGAGGAGUCAUUGGUGGCCAAUGAGGAGAUACUGUCCAUAACAGGGAGCUGCAGUUGGAGUUCUGCAGUUGGGAAUCUGCAACCCUGGAGAAGCCAAAGGCAGAGUCAGUGGGGAAGAUGGGUAGAAGAUCAAGGAAGGGAGAAAUAAUGAAGGAAUUAUCACAGUCCCUUUCCCUAUUGCUGGUCUCAAAACAUGAUUCACAGCAGAGCUUAGGAAGGGGGGAAGUUUUGGAUUGGGUAAAAGACUGAAGUUUGGGUAUAUGGUAUUGAAGUUUUAGAAUUUUGAACUAAUGGAAAAGUUCUGGAAUUUGCCUGAGGUUCCAUCCAGUGCCACAGAAGGAAGAUUAAAAAGAGUCAUUUUACCAGAGGAUGGUGAAAAAUACAGUGGCAUUCUGUUUACACACUUAGUUCAGGAUGGAGGUAAUCGGGCUGUCAGGCAUUUAAAAAUAAACCUCAAGUGUCUUUCCUCUGUCAAGUGUUGACCUAGAACUGAGAUAGGGAAGACAAGCACCAUGCCUUCAGAGGGCUUAUGACACCAGUGGAAGGAGAAAGAAAAGUAAGAAAUCAGAAGUUCAUGAUUGCAGUCAUAGACUCACAGCCCAAGGACAUCUUUCUGAGUCAAUGGAGAGAUGUAGAAGAACAUUUAGAGCAAGAUUUCUCAACUGGGGGUAAUUCUGACCUCUAAAGGACAUUUGGUAAUGUCUAAAGACACUUUUAAUUGUCAUAAGUGUGGGACUGGGGACUGCUAAUGGUGUCUAGUGAGUAGAGGCUAGGGAUGCUGCCAAACAUCCCAAAUGCACAGUAUCAGGGAAAACCAGCCCUCGGUAUUUCAAUGUGGGUUCUUUUCUAUUUCCCUAAGUGUCGGCUGGUCUGAGAAAUAAAGGGAAAGAGUACAAAAGAGAGAAAUUUUAAAGCUGGGCAUCUGGGGCAGACUUCACAUGUUGGCAGGUUCUGUGAUGCCCCUUGAGCCACAAAACCAGCAAGUUUUUA